rnacentral:rRNA from 1 species
UAUUGGUCAAUGGAUGCAAGUCUGAACCAGCCAUGCCGCGUGCAGGAAGAAGGCCUUCUGGGUCGUAAACUGCUUUUACCAGGGGAUAAAAUUCCGAUGCGUCGGAAAUUGAAGGUACCUGGUGAAUAAGCCACGGCUAACUCCGUGCCAGCAGCCGCGGUAAGACGGAGGAUGCAAGUGUUAUCCGGAAUCACUGGGCGUAAAGCGUCUGUAGGUGGUUUGAUAAGUCAACUGUUAAAUCUUGAAGCUCAACUUCAAAAUCGCAGUCGAAACUAUUAGACUAGAGUAUAGUAGGGGUAAAGGGAAUUUCCAGUGGAGCGGUGAAAUGCGUAGAUAUUGGAAAGAACACCGAUGGCGAAGGCACUUUACUGGGCUAUUACUGACACUCAGAGACGAAAGCUAGGGUAGCAAAU